rnacentral:rRNA from 1 species
GCUUGUGGCCAUACCACCAUGAACACGCCUGUUAAGGGUCGGGCCUGGUUAGUACUGGGACGGGAAACAGCCUGGGAAUACCAGGUGCAGAAAGCC